rnacentral:rRNA from 1 species
UUUUUCUUUUAAAGAAGAAAAAGUGACCAAUUUGUCCCGAGGUGAACAGCGGAGGGAUCAUUACAGAAGUUGCAAAACUCCCUAAAGCCCACUGUAAAUCCUCCCUUGAUGUGUUGCUUCGGCAGGCGGCCCUCAGGGCGGGGCCAUGGCCUUCUGGUGCCUGCCGACAAGCCCACUGAAACUCCUUUUACUACGGCUGUCUGAGUGCCUGAAAAAAAAUCAAAACUUUCAUACAACGGAUCUCUUGGUUCUGGCAUCGUAUGAAGAACGCAGCAGAAAUGCUGAUAAGUAAUGUGAAUUGCAGAAUUCAGCGAAUUCAUCGAAUUCUUUUGAAGACGCACAUUGCGCCCGCCAGUUAUUCUGGCGGGCAUGCCUGUUCGAGCGUCAUUUCUAACCCUCAGGCUGUCAUUCUGCCUGAGUGUUGGGGUACUACAGCACCUGUAGGCCCUGAAAAUCAGUGGCGGGCUCGCCCGGACCCCGAGCGUAGUAGACUACUAUUUCUCGCCCAGGGCGUUCUGGUGGGUUGCCCGGCCAGUAAAACCUCGCUGUCUCGGAGAGACACACACCAAGGUUGACCUCGGAUCAGGUAGGAAUACCCGCUGAACUUAAGCAUAUCAAUAAGCGGAGGAAAAGAAACCAACAGGGAUUGCCCCAGUAACGGCGAGUGAAGCGGCAACAGCUCAAAUUUGAAAUCUGGCCCUGGGCCCGAGUUGUAAUUUGUAGAGGAUGCUUUUGGUGCGGUGCCUUCUGAGUUCCCUGGAACGGGACGCCGUAGAGGGUGAGAGCCCCGUACAGUUGGACACCAAGCCUCUGUAAAGCUCCUUCCGACGAGUCGAGUAGUUUGGGAAUGCUGCUCAAAAUGGGAGGUAAACUUCUUCUAAAGCUAAAUUACCGGCCAGAGACCGAUAGCGCACAAGUAGAGUGAUCCAAAGAUGAAAACCACUUUUGAAAAAGGGUUAAACAGCACGUGGAAAUUUAUUGAAAGGGAAUGCACUCGUGACCAGACUUGGCCCCUGUGAAUUCAUCCAGGCGUUUUCCGCUGGUUCAUUUUCGCUUGGUUCCAGGGCACACGCAUCGGUUACUGCCCACGGGGGAUAAAAGACGCGGGGAACGUACGCUCCCUCCCAGGAGGUGUUAUAGGCCCGUCUCGUAGGAAAUGUCCUGCUGGGGGGAGCACGAAGUUUCGUCGCCGCUGCAAGGAAUUGGUGCGUAAAUGGUUAUCCCCGGCCGCUUUUUAAAGGGAAAAA